GACGAACGCUGGCGGCGUGCUUAACACAUGCAAGUCGAGCGGUAAGGCCCUUUCGGGGGUACACGAGCGGCGAACGGGUGAGUAACACGUGGGUGACCUGCCCUCAGCUCUGGGAUAAGCCUGGGAAACCGGGUCUAAUACUGGAUAUGACUCCAUGACGCAUGUUGUGGGGUGGAAAGCCUUGUGCGGCUGAGGAUGGGCCCGCGGCCUAUCAGCUUGUUGGUGGGGNGAUGGCCUACCAAGGCGACGACGGGUAGCCGGCCUGAGAGGGCGACCGGCCACACUGGGACUGAGACACGGCCCAGACUCCUACGGAGGCAGCAGUGGGGAAUCUUGCGCAAUGGGCGAAAGCCUGACGCAGCGACGCCGCGU
rnacentral:rRNA from 1 species